UAAUUCUAUAAAUUUUCUUCCAAAAAUUCUGUUCGUAGAUCAUAUCGCGAUAUCCCAUGAUCAAACAUCUACAAUCCUAUACAGAAUCAAUUUCAAUAAUUAGAAAGAAUACGAAUGCCAUAUUUCAAUGGUUUAGAUUGGGUCCGAUCAUCUAAUUUCAUUUAAUCAAAAUCUAAUUAGGACCUAAACGAUCCAAAGUUUGACUAUCAGAUCAAAUCGGAUAAGAAGUGAUAGGACCGAAGUUUCUUCAUCGCUUUCAUAAAAUCAAGUAGAGA
rnacentral:lncRNA from 1 species